GCUGGGCAUGGUGGUGUGUGCCUGUAGUCCCAGCUACUCGAGAGGCUGAGGCAGGAGGAUCACUUGAGCCCAGGAGUUCUGGGCUGUAGUGCGCUAUGCCAAUCGGGUGUCCGCACUAAGUUCGGCAUCAAUAUGGUAACCUCCUUGAGCGGGCGACCACCUGAUUGCCUAAGGAGGGGUGAACUGGCCCAGGUCGGAAACAGAGCAGAUCAAAACUCCCGUGCUGAUCAGAGUCGAGCAAAAUGAAGAAAUAAAGGAAUAUGUUACAAAGGAGAGAACAAGACAU
rnacentral:SRP_RNA from 1 species